UACGUAGGGGGCAAGCGUUGUCCGGAUUUAUUGGGCGUAAAGAGCGUGUAGGCGGCCAGACAGGUCUGCUGUGAAAACUCGAGGCUCAACCUCGAGCUGUCGGUGGAAACUGUCUGGCUAGAGUCCGGAAGAGGAGAGUGGAAUUCCUGGUGUAGCGGUGAAAUGCGCAGAUAUCAGGAAGAACACCUAUGGCGAAGGCAGCUCUCUGGGACGGUACUGACGCUGAGACGCGAAAGCGUGGGGAGCGAACAGG
rnacentral:rRNA from 1 species